rnacentral:rRNA from 1 species
UACGUAGGGAGCGAGCGUUGUCCGGAAUUACUGGGUGUAAAGGGAGCGUAGGCGGGACGGUAAGUCAGGUGUGAAAUAUACGUGCUCAACAUGUAGACUGCACUUGAAACUGCUGUUCUUGAGUGAAGUAGAGGUAAGCGGAAUUCCUAGUGUAGCGAUGAAAUGCGUAGAUAUUAGGAGGAACAUCGGUGGCGAAGGCGGCUUACUGGGCUUUUACUGACGCUGAGGCCCGAAAGCGUGGGGAGCAAACAGGAUUAGAUACCCUGGUAGUCCACGCUGUAAACGAUGAUUACUAGGUGUGGGGGGACUGACCCCUUCCGUGCCGCAGUUAACACAAUAAGUAAUCCACCUGGGGAGUACGACCGCAAGGUUGAA